rnacentral:rRNA from 1 species
CCUACGGGAGGCUGCAGUGGGGGAUAUUGCACAAUGGGGGGAACCCUGAUGCAGCGACGCCGCGUGGGUGAAGGAGCGUUUCGGCGCGUAAAGCUCUAUCAGCAGGGAAGAAAAUGACGGUACCUGACUAAGAAGCCCCGGCUAACUACGUGCCAGCAGCCGCGGUAAUACGUAGGGGGCAAGCGUUAUCCGGAUUUACUGGGUGUAAAGGGAGCGUAGACGGAAUUGCAAGUCUGAUGUGAAAAUCCGGGGACCAACCCCGGAAGUGCAUUGGAAACUGUAUUUCUAGAGUGUCGGAGAGGCAAGUGGAAUUCCUGGUGUAGCGGUGAAAUGCGUAGAUAUCAGGAGGAACACCAGUGGCGAAGGCGGCUUGCUGGACGAUGACUGACGUUGAGGCUCGAAAGCGUGGGGAGCAAACAGGAUUAGAUACCCUGGUAGUC